rnacentral:rRNA from 1 species
AUUAGGAAUCUUGCGCAAUGGGCGAAAGCCUGACGCAGCGACGCCGCGUGACCGAUGAAGUCCUUCGGGAUGUAAAGGUCUUUUGCGGGGGAAGAAGGAUGUGACGGUACCCCGCGAAUAAGCCCCGGCUAACUACGUGCCAGCAGCCGCGGUAAUACGUAGGGGGCGAGCGUUGUCCGAAUUUACUGGGCGUAAAGCGCGCGUAGGCGGGUUCUUAAGUCGGGGGUGAAAUCCCGAGGCUCAACCUCGGAACUGCCUCCGAAACUGGGAGCCUAGAGGCACGGAGAGGGAAGUGGAAUUCCUGGUGUAGCGGUGAAAUGCGUAGAUAUCAGGAGGAACACCCGUGGCGAAGGCGGCUUCCUGGCCGUGUCCUGACGCUGAGGUGCGAAAGCUAGGGGAGCGAAC